UAGACUGUGUCUUCUGUGGUGCACCAAAGCCAAGAUCCAUCAGCACUUUUGCCUUUAGCUUUCAAGAUGUCAUCAAUGGUAGUGCUUUCAAAGCCAUGCUCUUCCAUGUUUACAGAACUAGCCGAUGUUGAAAAGCGUGAAAGCAUUGCAGGCCUCAUAUGGGGGUUUGCUACACGAAUUUGUUGCAAAACAGCAGUUUUCACAACGUUUCCAUGUGACAGAAAUGAUCGCACAGCACCUUGCAUCUUUACCUGAGGAUGAUCCGGAAGAAAAACUGUAGGUUGAAGAAGGAGGUUGAGAACCAAAAAAAGUGAAAGAGGAAGAGUUAGCUGUUUUGGAGAAUGAGACCUAAAGGAAGAUUAAGCGAAGCGAAGCUCAUGGAAUGGA
rnacentral:misc_RNA from 1 species